rnacentral:rRNA from 1 species
ACAAAAAGUAAGUAAGGGCACAUGGCGGAUGCCUUGGCUCUCGGAGGCGAUGAAGGACGUGAUAAGCUGCGAUAAGCUGCGGGUAGGUGCAAAUGACCUUUGAUCCGCGGAUUUCCGAAUGGGACAACCCGGUACCUUGAAGAGGUACCAUUCCACAAUGUGGAAGGCUAACGCAGGGAACUGAAACAUCUUAGUACCUGCAGGAAAAGAAAAUAAAUAAUGAUUCCCCCAGUAGUGGCGAGCGAACGGGGAACAGCCCAAACCACCCAUGUUACGGCAUGUGUGGGGUUGUAGGACCACGUCGUGGCAAGAAAGUUGGUGAGCAGAAUGUUCUGGAAAGUACAGCCAUAGAGCA